rnacentral:tRNA from 3 species
GGGCGAGUGGUGGAACUGGCAGACACGUACGGUUCAGGGCCGUAUGGACGCAAGUCCGUGGAGGUUCAAAUCCUCUCUCGCCCA